AGGAAAGGAUAGGGCAAUAUAAAUAAUUUUAAUUUAAUUUUGAGAUGAAAUUUUAUGAGACCAAAGAAGACAAAAGUAAAUUGACCAUUUAAAGAUUAUGAUUUCUUCUUCCAACCUAUUUCUGUAUUAUAUUUUUUAAGAUUUUGUGGUUAUAUCCAUAUAUCUAUCCUUCAUAGAGAAGUUGUGAAAUCAUAAUCCACCUUAAUUUGUUAUAGGUACAUUGAGCUGUAUUCAAGAUGCAUCAGUUUGGAAUACAAGCAACAUGGAAUUGCUGUUCAGUGCCAGAUCCCAUUACUCGUGGCGACAAAGAUGGCAUCCAUUAAAAGGUCUUCUUUCUUCAUUCCAUCCCCAGAGACAUAUAGCAAAGCAAGUUUACGAGCAAUCGGUUACGAGCAGAUUUCUAUACCAUACUGGCCACAUUCUCUGCAGUGUUGCCUAAUCCGAGCUCUCCCAGAUAUUGUACAGGAUUGCUGUCUUCUUCGGUAUUUCCUUGGAAUGCGAAAGAGAGGGCUCAAGAAACAACAGCAGGAGCAACAGCAAAAGAAGUAAUGAAAUAAUGAGUAAAGAAAACAGUUACCAUAAAGAUUAAUGAAAAACAGUAUGCUCUGUCUUUUGAAUAAAUGGAAUGAAGAAAAGAUGAAAUGGAGGAGAUAGAUACAUGGUAGUAAGAAAUUGUACUUUCAUCGGUGGUUGAUCUUUGGUCAUUAUUUUAAUUUUAAUGAUUUGGUUUGUACACUUUAAUUGUAAUUUCAAUUUAAUAUGGUUUGAUUUUGAUAA